rnacentral:misc_RNA from 1 species
UAUGAAGAACGUAGUGAAAUGCGAUAAGUAGUGUGAAUUGCAGAAUUCAGUGAAUCAUCGAAUCUUUGAACGCACAUUGCGCCCCUUGGUAUCCCGAGGGGCAUGCCUGUUCGAGCGUCAUUUCACCACUCAAGCCUGGCUUGGUGUUGGGCGACGUCCCCUUUGGGGACGCGCCUCGAAACGCUCGGCGGCGUGGCACCGGCUUUAAGCGUAGCAGAAUCUUUCGCUUUGGAAGUCGGGGCCCCGUCUGCCGGAAGACCUGCUCGCAAGGUUGACCUCGGAUCAGGCAGGGAUACCCGCUGAACUUAAGCAUAUCAAUAAGCGGAGGA